UUGUUGGAGAGUUUGAUCCUGGCUCAGGACGAACGCUGGCGGCGUGCUUAAUACAUGCAAGUCGAACGUGGUCCAUCCGAUCUUCGGAUCGGAGAAGAUCAAGUGGCGAACGGGUGCGUAACACGUGAGGAACCUGCCCCAGUCUCCGGAAUAACGAGUGGAAACAUUUGCUAAUACCGGAUGACGUCUGACCACCACCUGGUGGACAGCCGAAAGAUUUAUCGGACCGGGAGGGUCUCGCGGCCUAUCAGCUUGUUGGUGAGGUAACGGCUCACCAAGGCAUCGACGGGUAGCUGGUCUGAGAGGAUGAUCAGCCACACUGGGACUGAGACACGGC
rnacentral:rRNA from 2 species